UACGUAGGGCGCAAGCGUUGUCCGGAAUUAUUGGGCGUAAAGGGCGCGUAGGCGGCCUGGCAAGUGGAAGGUGAAAUCCCUCGGCUUAACCGAGGAACUGCCUCCCAAACUGCUUGGCUUGAGACCAGGAGAGGUGAGUGGAAUUCCCAGUGUAGCGGUGAAAUGCGUAGAUAUUGGGAGGAACACCAGUGGCGAAGGCGGCUCACUGGACUGGUACUGACGCUGAGGCGCGAAAGCGUGGGGAGCAAACGGG
rnacentral:rRNA from 1 species